rnacentral:rRNA from 1 species
AAAAAUUCUAUGUGAAAAAUUUUAUAAAUAAAUAAAUUUUUUAUGGUUUAUAAAUUUUAUUUUAAGUUUAUUUUACAUGUAAAUUUUAGUGUUGUAUAUUGCUUAUUUAAAUAAUAUUUAAUUUUUGCAGUAAUUAGUUUUAAAAAUUUAAGAAAUUAAGAUUUAGUGAUAUUUAAAUUAAUAACUAAUUUUGUGCCAGCAGUUGCGGUUAUACAAAAGUUAAUUUAAAAUUUUUUAGUAAUUAAUAAUUAAUUAAAUUAAAUAAUUUAAAUUAAAAAUUAUUAGGUGAAAUUUUAAUUAAAAAAAAAUUAUUUUUUAAUUAUGAAUUAAUAAAUUUUAUUAAAAACUAGGAUUAGAUACCCUAUUAUUAAAAAUUAAAUUUAAAUACUAAAAUAGUAGAUAAUUAUUGAAACUUAAAUAAUUUGGCGGUAUUUUAGUUUAUUUAGAGGAAUCUGUUUAAUAAUUGAUAAUCCACGAAUAAAUUUACUUAAUUUGAAAUUUUGUAUAUCGUUGUUAAAUAAAUAUUUUAUAAUAAUAAUAAUAUUUAAAAAUUUAAAUUAGAAAUUAAAUCAGAUCAAGAUGCAGAUUAUAAUUAAGAAUAUAAUGGAUUACAAUAAAUUUAUUUAAAUUGGAUUUUAAUAUGGAAUAAUUAAAUGAAAUUGGAUUUAAAUGUAAUUUUAUAAAAUUUUAUAAAAUGAUUAAUAAUUAAAAUAUGUACAUAUUGCCCGUCGCUUUCAUUUAUAAAUUGGAAUAAGUCGUAACAAAGUAGAGGUACUGGAAAGUGUUUCUAGAAAGAU